GGGCAGCGAUGAGGAUAUAAGAAUGUCAUGCACCACUCUGAUCGAAUCGUUAAUCGGUUCAGUGGUGACAAAUAUUAUGGAUCUGAGCCC